rnacentral:rRNA from 1 species
UACCUGCAGCUCAAGUGCUGGCCGCUAUUAUUGGGCCUAAAACGUCCGUAGCCGGUUUUAUAAGUGCCUGGGUAAAUUGUACGGCUUAACCGUAUGAAUUCCGGAGAGACUGUUUAACUUGAGACCGGGAGAGGCUAGAGGGACUCCUGGGGUAGAGGUGAAAUUCUGUAAUCCUAGGAGGACCACCAGUGACGAGAGGCGCCUAGCUAGAACGGUUCUGACGGUGAGGGACGAAGCCCUGGGGAGCAAACGGGAUUAGAUACCCCGGUAGUCCAGCGCGUAAACGCUGCUCGCUUGAUGUUAGUCGGGCUCCGAGACCCAACUAGUGUCGGAGAGAAGCUGUUAAUCGAGCUGCCUGGGAAGUACGGUCGCAAGACUGAAACUUAAAGGAAUUGGGGGGGGAGCACCGCAACGGGUGGGGCGUGCGGUUUAAUUGGAUUCAACGCCGGACAACUCACCGGGGGCGACGGUUAUAUGAAGGCCGGUCUGAUGACCUUGCCUGACUUUCCGAGAGGUGGUGCAUGGCCGUCGUCAGUUCGUACCGUGAGGCGUUCUCUUAAGUCAGCACACCGAACGAGACCCUCAUCAUUAGUCGCUACUAGUAAGUUCGCAUUCUAGGCACACUAGAGAAUCCCCUGUCGAUAACUCAGAGGAAGCCGAGGGCACCGUUAGGUCAGUAUGCCCUGAAUCCCCCGGGCUCCCCCCGCCCUCCAAAGGAUAGGACAAUGGGUUUCGACCCCGAAAGGGGAAGGCAAUCCCGAAACCUAGUCCUAGUUCGGAUUGAGGGUUGUAACUCACCCUCAUGAAGUUGGAAUCCGUAGUAAUCGCGGAUCAACAUUCCGCGGUGAAUACGCCCCUGCUCCU